rnacentral:lncRNA from 1 species
GUGAACUUAUCAAAACCAACAAAGACUUAAACUGUGAUAUCAUAACUCUGUCAUUAGUCAGAACUCUAGUGUCUAAUUUAUGCGUAAUUACAUAGGGUAAUAGCAUAAAUUAAUCAAUCAAACUAAAUUUUAAUUAAUAGCUAAUAAUCCCUCAUAGAAGAUUAUUAAGCUCAAAUUAAACUACUACUCAGUUUAGUUAAAUAAAUUAGAUCCAUCUUCUAAUUAACUACCAAAGGCCAACAAUAAUCUUAUUUAACCAAGCCCACUAGAAAUAAUAAUAAGCCCAUCAGAAAUAGCUUAAGCCCAAUUAAAUAUACAAGUUCAAUAAAUAAUUAAAUCCACCACUGCAUUAACCAACCCAAGCCCAACAGUAAUUUAAUUUACAAAAGUCCAUCAAGACUUAUUAGCCCAAGUAAUUGUUUAAGCCCAACUGUAAUCACCCUUUUCCUUUUCUUCUACGCAAUAGUCAGUCUCUCUCCCUCUCUCCGCCUCCGGCAGAUGUCGCCGGUCCUCCCCGCCUCCGGCGCGGAGAGGCCGGCCCUCUCCUUCCCCCCCUCCUUUUCUUUCUUCCCUAUUUCCUUCCCAAUUUCUAAAAUUCCCAAAUUAUAGGGUUUGCUGCCUUCCUUUUUCCCUCUGAAAUUCGCCCCUCCGGCGAGGCCCGCCACUGCCGCCGCCGUCUCUGUGGCACCACCGCCACCUCCGUCUCAGGUAAGCUUCUUUUCUCUCCCACUCGAUUUCUCUCUCUUUCUGCUCCCCCUUCUCUAUCGAUUCUUAGUCGCGACGGCUGAUGCGAGCCGCGACGGCGCUCGCCGCCGUUUCUGCUCCUCCUUCUCUCCCUCCCUAACUUCGCCCCUAUAUCCUUCUCUGGUUCGUCUCUCUCUGUUUCUGUCUGUAUCUCGCUCAUAUCCCUCUCUCUCUCCCCGUUGGCAGCCACCGCGGACCGCUGUGGCGCGGGCAGCGCCGGCGGUCGCUGCCGCCAGUCACGCCUCCGCUGCAGUGGCUCGCGGCUGCUGUUGCCGUCCCUUCCCCUGUUCUAACUCUUCUUCUUCUCCUUUUUCUCUAUUUUUUCAGUUUUAAUACGUUAAAUUAACUAAAUCUCUAACUAUGUUCUAUAUCAGGAAUUGAUCGGCAUCUUCGACUCCGGUGUGGCAGCUUCGUCUACUGCCCAAGAUUCUACCUUUUCCUCCUUGUUUUUUAUUUAUCUGGUUUCUUGUUCAAUUAUUGAAAAUUGGGAUCGUUGAUGAUAAAGCAUACUGCUUAUGCUCAACUUGUAUAACUAUAUCUAUUUUGAUUGUUCGUGGCCGUUGAUCUAUACUCAAUGAAUGGAUUAUUGAAUAAAAGAAAGACUACCUUCUUUGCUGUGAACUGAUGUGGUUUAUUGCUGUGGAUGAUUUGUGUUUGGAUGGGCGUCUGCUUUUGGUGUGUAGAAUUUGCAGAAUGAGAAAAGAAAUGGAAUUACAGUGGUUUCUCAGUCAUAUACUGGAC